CCCGGUGAUAUUUUAACGGCCGCAGUUAGAAGCUGUGCUAAGGUAGCGUAGUAAGUUGUCCUUUAAAUGGGGAAAGGAAUGAAUGGUUUGACGUGGGGAUUACUGUCUCUGGCAAAGAGGGAAAAAUUUUCUUUUCGGUGAAAAGCCCGAAAUUUAAUUAAAAGACGAGAAGACCCUUUCGAGCUUGAUGUAAUUUUACAUAAUUGUGAAGUGUAAGUUUAGUUGGGGCAACUUGGGAGGAUGAUUAGACUCCUUUAAGAUUAUGGUGAUCCAAAAAUUUUGAAAAGAGAAAAAGCUACCGUAGGGAUAACAGCGUUAUCUUUUCUGAGAGAACAAAUUGAAGAAAAG
rnacentral:rRNA from 1 species